rnacentral:rRNA from 1 species
GACGAACGCUGGCGGCGUGCCUAAUACAUGCAAGUAGAACGCUGAAGGAGGAGCUUGCUUCUCUGGAUGAGUUGCGAACGGGUGAGUAACGCGUAGGUAACCUGCCUGGUAGCGGGGGAUAACUAUUGGAAACGAUAGCUAAUACCGCAUAACAGUAGAUGUUGCAUGACAUUUGCUUAAAAGGUGCAAUUGCAUCACUACCAGAUGGACCUGCGUUGUAUUAGCUAGUUGGUGGGGUAACGGCUCACCAAGGCGACGAUACAUAGCCGACCUGAGAGGGUGAUCGGCCACACUGGGACUGAGACACGGCCCAGACUCCUACGGGAGGCAGCAGUAGGGAAUCUUCGGCAAUGGACGGAAGUCUGACCGAGCAACGCCGCGUGAGUGAAGAAGGUUUUCGGAUCGUAAAGCUCUGUUGUAAGAGAAGAACGGGUGUGAGAGUGGAAAGUUCACACUGUGACGGUAUCUUACCAGAAAGGGACGGCUAACUACGUGCCAGCAGCCGCGGUAAUACGUAGGUCCCGAGCGUUGUCCGGAUUUAUUGGGCGUAAAGCGAGCGCAGGCGGUUAGAUAAGUCUGAAGUUAAAGGCUGUGGCUUAACCAUAGUACGCUUUGGAAACUGUUUAACUUGAGUGCAAGAGGGGAGAGUGGAAUUCCAUGUGUAGCGGUGAAAUGCGUAGAUAUAUGGAGGAACACCGGUGGCGAAAGCGGCUCUCUGGCUUGUAACUGACGCUGAGGCUCGAAAGCGUGGGGAGCAAACAGG